GAUGAACGCUGGCGGCGUGCCUAAUACAUGCAAGUCGAGCGAACAGACGAGGGGCUUGCUCCUCUGACGUUAGCGGCGGACGGGUGAGUAACACGUGGAUAACCUACCUAUAAGACUGGGAUAACUUCGGGAAACCGGAGCUAAUACCGGAUAAUAUAUUGAACCGCAUGGUUCAAUAGUGAAAGACGGUUUUGCUGUCACUUAUAGAUGGAUCCGCGCCGCAUUAGCUAGUUGGUAAGGUAACGGCUUACCAAGGCGACGAUGCGUAGCCGACCUGAGAGGGGGAGCGGCCACACUGGAGCUGAGACGCGGUCCAGACUCCUACGGGAGGCAGAAGUAGGGAAUCUUCCGAAAUGGGCGAAAGCCUGACGGAGCAACGCAGCGUGAGUGAUGAAGGUCUUCGGAUCGUAAAACGCUGUUAUUAGGGAAGAACAAAUGUGUAAGUAACUAUGCACGUCUUGACGGUACCUAAUCAGAAAGCCACGGCUAACUACGU
rnacentral:rRNA from 1 species